rnacentral:rRNA from 1 species
UACGGGAGGGGCGAGUGUUAUUCAUAGUGAUUGGGCGUAAAGGGUGCGUAGGUGGCUUGGUAAGUUGAAGGUGAAAUCUCGGGGCUUAACUCCGAAACUGACCUUCAAUACUGCUGAGCUCGAGGACUGUAGAGGAGAAUGGAAUUCACGGUGUAGCAGUGAAAUGCGUAGAUAUCGUGAGGAACACCAGUGGCGAAGGCGACUACCUGGCCCAUUCUUGACGCUGAGGCGCGAAAGCUAGGGGAGCGAACGGG